GGCAAAGGACUAAGGUAUCCAUCAAUUAGGAGUCUAUCAAAGGCCAGAGUGUUGAAAUAUGGGACUCCUUGGACAAACACUACAUUAAUAACACCUAUACUGCCUUUCUUGCCGGGUGUAGGCAGCCGUUGAGGCUGAAUACUCUUUCAUUAUCCAAUAAAAUUUAGUCUAUGAAACAUUAUCUACUCAAAUUGAAGUCUUAUCAUUUCAAUAAGAGUUAGGAACGUAUACAAAAAACGUAAUUGUAAUGAUAAUGAAUAAUUAUCCAUCCCUACCCUGUAUUUUAUUGGGAAUCAAAUCAUGAUUAGAUACUAUUCAAGGGUAUUUGACAAGCAAAUAUUUUGAGGUAUAAUGCUUCAUCUCCAACCCUUCAUGACUGACUUUGUCCAGUGAUGAAAGAGGCUGUGUAUGUACGUAAUGUAAUGGUGGUGGUGAGGAACAACAACAACGACGAAGAAGUAAAGCCCAAAAGUGGACAUACCUGAGAUUUUUAUUUUCUUCAAGUUUUAUUCUUUUACGAUUCUCUUAUUUUCUUUCGUUUGGAGGGAAUGGGAUUAUACUUUAAGAGAGAGAACUCAAAGACCUAAUAGUACAUUAACAUUCCCAAAGAGAAGGAGGAUCAAUGCAAAUAUAUCAUUUUUGAAUAUACUAGAAUCCAAUCCAUGAUACUACAUUAAAGUUGUUCCAAAAAAAAAA
rnacentral:lncRNA from 1 species